CUUUGCAUUUCUGAUUCUCAUCCCUCAAGGCUUUGGUAAUGCUCCUAACCAUAAUAAACAUUUACAUCAUCCAUCAUCAACAUAUGUACAUCCUACCACCUUACCCAAACCAACUUACCCUGCCAGUACCAACAUUCCAAAAAAGCAUCCUCACCACCCUCCAAAAGAAGAUAACACUCAUUUCUAAAGUAUGAAAUGAGAGUUAUGAAAUAUAUAUGUACUGAAUAAGUGGUUCUAGUUACCAAGCUGUUUGUUUUCUAUAUAGUAAUAUGUACUCUCCUACUUGGCAACUGUGGGUGGGGUGUUUUUGUGUUUUGUGUGUGUACGUGUCAUGAAUAAAAAUUACUUGACAAGAAAGAGUGCUAUGUACUGCAGAUUAUAAAUAUUUUUAUUUGUGACACCAGAUUAUAAUAAAUAAAUAUUAUGAUUGUGUGAGAUUGAUAGGUUUAAUUGAUUUAUAUAUAUCGAGCAAUUUCAGACCGUAAAUAAGUCUAUAAUAUAAUACUAGUUAUUGCUAAUACUACCUUUUACGUAAACCUUGCUCUUCCUAAAAAUAAAAUAAUAUCAGUCAAACAAUAAAAGUGUGAAGAAACUUGUGAGCAAUUACAUGACGAUGUUGAUUAAUAUCCUCGCAAGCUCCUUUUUUGUGGAUGUUGAUACUCUCAUUUUUUGUGAGAAAUCUUGGUCUACAAUUACAACUAUCAAAGCCAGGCUUUUCCUUUUUAAAUUAAUUUCAGGCCUUAAAGUUAACUUUCAUAAAUGUUUGUUAUUUAGUGUUAAUAUAUCUCUUAUUUGGUUGAAAAUUGAUGUCGGCACAUUGAAAAAGGUUGAAAACACUGGUAAAAGACGUAAAUACCCCGUCGACAGUUAAUUACCGAGGAAAACAACCGACGGCAGUUAACUACUGAGGAAAACUUCGACAGUAAAUUACCGUCGAUUCGAUCCUGAGCAUAUGCAAAACAGAAGCAUCAGUUUUCCCAUUUCAUCUUUUCUCCAAAACUUCUCAAAAUUCACUCCAAUUAAGUUUUGGACGAAAUUCAACUUAAUUAUCUCCAUUUUAUCACAAGUAAGUAGGUUUAAUAAUUUUUAAUCAUAAUGUCAGUUUGUGUAGGUUUUUUUUUAAGUUUUGUAGUUUGCAUGCUGUUAGGGUUGAUGUAGGAAUUGAUAUUUUGAUGAUUGCAUGUAGUUUAUAAAUGAAUGUAGCUGUUGUAAUUGAUGUUCGAACGUGUUUUAAGUACAGUAUGUUUUGAAUGGUGUCAAAUGAAGAUAAUUUGAAUACUUUUGAUACUUUGCACACAAAGUGUUUGACAAAAUGCCCAAAUGAAAAUUUUAUUGAUUAUUUAGUUAGUUUAUAUUAUGCGAAUUAUAUUGAUUAUUUAAUUUGAUAAAACAACAAGAAUCAUUCAAUAAUAUCUCCCUCUCCAACAAGUCGGCCCUAGUUUUCUCUCUCUAGGUUUUUUCUUACUGUUUCUUCAUUGAGGGGUGGUUUUGGGUCAAUUCUUGACCUAAAAUCACCCAUCUUCAUCUUUUUCUCUCUAUUUCAAUCUAAAUAAGUGAUUUUCAGAUAAAUCUAGCUUUUUUUCUUUGUGAUUUCAUCAUCUAAGUGUGGUGGUUUGUUUUUCAUCGUCUUGUGCGGCGUUGUUUCAUUUCCCGUCUUCGUGCGGUGUUCAUUUGAUUUAUAUUGAAAGAUCCAUUAUUCAAACAAAGAUUUGGGCGUCAACAUUGCAGAUCCGGAGGCCAUGGAUAUUCCGGUCACUUUAAUUUUAUCAUAUAUUUUUCUAGGCAUUAUGCUGUUAUAUGCUAUUAACUUGGAUGAUGCAUGUUUGUUCAUAGAUUCAUCCUUUACGUUUUUAGCAGUGUUGAAUGAUGUAAUCUCUCGAUUUGAAUGAAUGAAUAUCAUUUUGUUUUUGUCAAAAAAAAAAAGAUAUUUGUUUGAUCUUAAUAUAUAUAAAUGUUAAACAUUCUGAUAAGUUUCCCUAAUUAAUUCCGCCUUUUUGGGUGGAUGUGAGUAAUUUUUAUGAAAAAAAUUAGUUUGCAAGGAAUCAAACCAGGUACCAUAUGCUCACACUUUACAACUACAACCGCUAUGCCACUUCUAUUUUUGUAGAAAUAUUGUUGCUUCUAAAAAAGAAAUACAUGACUAAAACAUUUUUUUUAAAUCCCGAACCGCCCUAACAGUUUCCUCUCUCAUAUCAGUUAUUUUUUAUUAUUAGCAGUACCUUUAUUGAUAGUAGUGAUCUUUUUCAGUAUGCUUACUACGUUUUACGAUAUUAAAGUUGUAUCUUUAAAAUUGUAGAUAAUUUGACUGAUCCAGAUGAUAAUUUUAUCAUUAGAAACUUCACUUUUUCCUUUAAUUUUGCUGGCCUCUUUGUUUCUCCAAUAUUAUAUUACUUGAAGUUGUAUAUUCUAACUUUUUAUUUGCAAAAAUCACUACAGUAGACUAUAACAUUACUUUGUUUUGGCAAAGUAAGGACUUCGAUUCCUUAUUCAUUUUUGUUAAUUUCCAUUAUUUAUAAGGCGCUGAGAGAAUAUUAUGAAGGCUACCUUGAUUCUGCUACCAGAUUGUCGGAUCCACAGAAUCUAGGGGAUCCACAAGAGCUGGAAAAGAUUAGGACUACUUGUGUGAAAUGGUACCUCCUAUAUUUGGUUGGAUGCUUGUUGUUUGGUGAUAAAAGCAACAAACGCAUUGAGUUGGUCUAUCUGACGACCAUGGAGGACGGCUACGCGGGGAUGCGUAAUCAUUCUUGGGGAGGGAUGACAUUAGCAUACCUAUACCACUGUCUAUCUGAGGUCUCUUUACCUGGAGGUGGAGCUCUUGAGCGAAGCGUGACACUGGUCACUGCUGUAUGAAAUUGUCACAUUGGAACCUUAACUUUAUUUUUAUUUUUGUUUUAUUUUCGUGCGUAAUAAUUUAUAAAAGUGAUUUGUUUGGUUUGUGCAGGGAUGGUUUUUGUGUCACUUGCCGGAGCGGGGUCUGAGAUAGUACGGCUAUGUUCAGACCGUUCCCAUACCUCCUACGACGAUUGAGCCUCUUGAGCCAGCGGAGGUGGUUACGGCCUUCUUGGAGUUUGCUCUCCAUGUCCAAAGCCAGCAAGAGAGGGGUGAGUCGGUCCCGGAGGACGAGGGGCAUAAGCAUUCAAAGGGGUACAUGAAAUGAUUCUACCGUGUAUCCCAUCUUCUUAUGAUCGCCCCUGCUGCCGUUCCUGAGGACCACAGUUCCUAGACCUCCCUAUGAGGAGGUUAUUGUUGAGCAGCGGUGGGCCGGACAUCCUCCCGACCCAUACCAGAUGAUCAUCCAAAAUGUCAGAGUCGUAGUUAACAGCGCUAUGGAGGGGAUUCCUGAAGUGUAUUCAAAUCUUGUUGUUGUCCGCUUUAUUGAGACCAUCCAGCACCAGUAUCGCGUGUUGGAGGAGGUGCCGACUCCGCGGAGGAGGAGGAGGACACGGAAGUAGUAGGCUCUUAAAAAAAGCAUACUGUCUCCCCACCACCACAAUGAAUAUUGCCUAAAAAUAAUUCCGAUAUAUACAUCCACCUCCACUUAUAUUGAGUUAGACCAAAUCAAAUAAUUGCAAAAAAAAAAAAGUAAUCCUAAUCCACAAUCAAUAUUACCGAUAUAUUAGGCUUUUUGAAAGUUUGAUUUGCUUUGUGACGUGUAGCUUAAUCCGUAAGCAUAUGGAAAUCUGACGUAUUUCAUUAAUAAUUGUACCCUCCCACUCACCAUUGUCUCUAACUAGUAUAAAACAUUAUAUUAUUCCCUAUGUUUUAUGCAUCAAUACAAAAAUCACACUAAGAUGGCUUCUUUUUUCUCAUACUUGCUUGUGUUUUUCUUUGCAUUUCUGAUUCUCAUCCCUCAAGGCUUUGGUAAUAAUCCUAGCCAUAAUAAACAUUUACAUCAUCCACCAUCAACAUAUGUACAUCCUACCACCUUACCCAAACCAAUUUACCCUGCCAGUACCAACAUUCCAAAAAAGCAUCCUCACCACCCUCCAAAAGAAGAUAACACUCAUUUCUAAAGUAUGAAAUGAGAGUUUUGAACUAUAUAUAUGUACUGAAUAGGUGGUCCUAGUUACCAAGCUGUUUGUUUUCUAUAGUAAUAUGUACU
rnacentral:lncRNA from 1 species